GUGUCCAUAGCUCAGCUGGAUAGAGCAACGGCCUUCUAAGCCGUGGGUCAGGGGUUCGAAUCCCUUUGGACACG
rnacentral:tRNA from 1 species